rnacentral:pre_miRNA from 12 species
CCAGGGCCCCAGCUCCUUCUCCUCUCAGGGAAGCUUUUUGCUCGCGUUAUGUUUCUCAUCCGAAUAUAAGACGAACAAAAGGUUUGUCUGAGGGUAGAGUGCUCCCACCAGGGGCAG